UACGUAGGUGGCAAGCGUUGUCCGGAUUUACUGGGCGUAAAGAGCGCGCAGGCGGUCGUUCAAGUCGCGUGUGAAAGCCCCCGGCUCAACUGGGAGGGUCACGCGAUACUGAUCGACUCGAAGGCAGGAGAGGGUAGUGGAAUUCCCGGUGUAGUGGUGAAAUGCGUAGAUAUCGGGAGGAACACCAGUGGCGAAGGCGACUACCUGGCCUGUUCUUGACGCUGAGGCGCGAAAGCUAGGGGAGCAAACGGG
rnacentral:rRNA from 1 species